rnacentral:lncRNA from 1 species
CCCUGAAGCAAAGCCCACGCCCUCCUCACAAACAGCUUUGAAGAGAUCUAGAUUUCAGAUCCCAUGAUCUGUUAUGUCAGAGGAAGGCAUGCAGAAGACAUGCUCUGCACUCAGUCUCGCCAGGGCAAGAGUAGACCCGACCUCCUUGAAGAAUGAGACCUUGUUCCAUUCUCUUCCCUUGCCUGUAAUGCCUUGAAACAAGCGAGCGGUUCAUAGGAGCUUUGCAAGAUAUUACAGAAUUGCAGUGUGUAUUUGAAAUUCAAAUGCGCAUGGGAUUCGUGCAUUUUAUUGUCCUGUGGCUCAUGUCUCUUAAAUAAAGCAUUUCCCCUGUGUAGGCGCUCCCAGGGGCUCCACAUGAGGUCAGCGCUGGGGUGGCUUUGCCAGGGUCAGAAGGCUGUUCUUCCAGGAAGGGCUGCAGAGACCCUGGGAACAGGACCAGCCCAGCUCACAAGUAUGAAGAGAAUGUCGGAGAGGAAGUGGUGGCUGUGAGUCAGCAUGAGUCAUCUCGUUCCAAUGAGAACAGAGACUGAGGUGUGCGCCCUUUUUUUUUCUUUUUCUUUUUCUUCUUCUUUUUCCCUCUUUUUUCUUUCUUUUCUUUCUUUUUUUCCCUCUCUUAAUUUCUUUCUUUCUUUCCUUCCUUCUUUCUUUCUUUCUUUUUUCUUGGUCUCAGCCAUGUGGACGUGAUGGGGAAUGGAGGGAAGUCGUGACAGCAGGCUGCUCAGGCGGCGGACUGGCAUUCCAGGCAGGCUGUGGCUGAGCCAGCGUGCGCCUCAGUCCUCCGCAGCUCCGCCGGCGGGAAGGUGGAGCCAGCCGCUUCUCCCCGGACACUUAAUGAGCUACAACCCUGGUCUGUUGCCAUUUGAACAAGUUGAAUAACUGGGAGAUGAAACAGGAAGCUCUAUGACACAGUUGAUCGAAAAUGACACAGACACAGAAAAAUCAGGACUCGGCCCCCUCCAGUGCCUCUACCUGCUGCCCACAGCCGGAGUGCAGAUGGCAAAGUAAGAAGCAGAAGGGGAAAGGACUUGGCUGCCAGCAGCUUCCCCAUCCUUUAUGGAUUGGAUCUGUAAAGGAGACUCUCAGGUGGGUACGAACAACACCUAUUGUC